UUUUGUUGUAGCAAUUUUACUGGUGGGAUGAUAGGAAUAUAUUUCUUAUAAGGAGGAAUUUUUUCAGAAGAUGUAGAGUCAGGUUUAACGGUCUGUUGGAUUAUGCCUGAACCAAGUUGGUAAAACCUAAUUGGAUUAGUGAACCUUUAUGCAACUGUAUCACCGCCUUUGGAAUAGUGAAGGAUACCAGUUGCUGAGGGAAAAAGGAAGGAAAGCCCAGGCAUCAUCGAAGGGUGGCUCCCUACAUACUGUGGGUGCCAGAAGUACCCUUGCUGUGUAGGAAAAAUUGGAAAAAGAAAAGGGUAGGAAGAUACCACACGAUGAGCUAUUCGAGGAGACUCAUCUGAAGAAGAAAAAGAACCCUACUGAUGAAGAUGUCUGGGUUGAACCUCAUGCAAAAGAUGUCCAUGACAAAUAUAGGCAGCUCGUUAGUGAGUAUUGUAGUACUCAGUCGUUUGAAACUCAGGGUGACCUACUACCCGACAUGUAGAGGAGGAGUUAUUAGGAAAAGUUGUGGGUCCUAUCGUUAGAGGUCAUUACUACGGAUACCACAAUAUUUUUUUUGGCGACAAUAUUAGGUGUUCGUUUGGCCCUACUUACUCUAGAUUGAAAGACUAGAAAGUACGGUUUCUAAACUUAUUUAAGAGCUUGCUGAAUAGAGAGAGAGGUCGCAGAAAAGGGAGGAGGAACUUCAUCACAAAUCAUGAUACUGCAGGAGCAGUUCAGCUCUUUCAUUUAGACUGCAGGGAUUAUUCCUUCGUGUCCUGGUGAUGCUGUUCGGGCUGCAAAAGGACUUGGCCCCCAGGAUAAUAUCAGCACAGAUGAGGAUAUGGAAGACGAGGAUGAGGACGAAUUC